rnacentral:rRNA from 1 species
GAGUUUGAUCCUGGCUCAGAGUGAACGCUGGCGGCGUGCCUAAUACAUGCAAGUCGAACGAUGAAGCUUCUAGCUUGCUAGAAGUGGAUUAGUGGCGCACGGGUGAGUAACGCAUAGGUCAUGUGCCUCUUAGUUUGGGAUAGCCAUUGGAAACGAUGAUUAAUACCAGAUACUCCCUACGGGGGAAAGAUUUAUCGCUAAGAGAUCAGCCUAUGUCCUAUCAGCUUGUUGGUAAGGUAAUGGCUUACCAAGGCUAUGACGGGUAUCCGGCCUGAGAGGGUGAACGGACACACUGGAACUGAGACACGGUCCAGACUCCUACGGGAGGCAGCAGUAGGGAAUAUUGCUCAAUGGGGGAAACCCUGAAGCAGCAACGCCGCGUGGAGGAUGAAGGUUUUAGGAUUGUAAACUCCUUUUGUUAGAGAAGAUAAUGACGGUAUCUAACGAAUAAGCACCGGCUAACUCCGUGCCAGCAGCCGCGGUAAUACGGAGGGUGCAAGCGUUACUCGGAAUCACUGGGCGUAAAGAGCGCGUAGGCGGGAUAGUCAGUCAGGUGUGAAAUCCUAUGGCUUAACCAUAGAACUGCAUUUGAAACUACUAUUCUAGAGUGUGGGAGAGGUAGGUGGAAUUCUUGGUGUAGGGGUAAAAUCCGUAGAGAUCAAGAGGAAUACUCAUUGCGAAGGCGACCUGCUGGAACAUUACUGACGCUGAUUGCACGAAAGCGUGGGGAGCAAACAGGAUUAGAUACCCUGGUAGUCCACGCCCUAAACGAUGGAUGCUAGUUGUUGGAGGGCUUAGUCUCUCCAGUAAUGCAGCUAACGCAUUAAGCAUCCCGCCUGGGGAGUACGGUCGCAAGAUUAAAACUCAAAGGAAUAGACGGGGACCCGCACAAGCGGUGGAGCAUGUGGUUUAAUUCGAAGAUACACGAAGAACCUUACCUAGGCUUGACAUUGAGAGAAUCCGCUAGAAAUAGUGGAGUGUCUGGCUUGCCAGACCUUGAAAACAGGUGCUGCACGGCUGUCGUCAGCUCGUGUCGUGAGAUGUUGGGUUAAGUCCCGCAACGAGCGCAACCCCCUUUCUUAGUUGCUAACAGGUCAUGCUGAGAACUCUAAGGAUACUGCCUCCGUAAGGAGGAGGAAGGUGGGGACGACGUCAAGUCAUCAUGGCCCUUACGCCUAGGGCUACACACGUGCUACAAUGGGGUGCACAAAGAGAAGCAAUACUGCGAAGUGGAGCCAAUCUUCAAAACGCCUCUCAGUUCGGAUUGUAGGCUGCAACUCGCCUGCAUGAAGCUGGAAUCGCUAGUAAUCGCAAAUCAGCCAUGUUGCGGUGAAUACGUUCCCGGGUCUUGUACUCACCGCCCGUCACACCAUGGGAGUUGUGUUUGCCUUAAGUCAGGAUGCUAAAUUAGCUACUGCCCACGGCACACACAGCGACUGGGGUGAAGUCGUAACAAGGUAACCGUAGGUGAACCUGCGGUUGGAUCACC